ACUCCACGAAGGCGGAAUCGCUAGUAAUCGCGAAUCAGCAUGUCGCGGUGAAUACGUUCCCGGGUCUUGUACACACCGCCCGUCAAAUCAUGGGAGUCGGAAGUACCCAAAGUCGCUUGGCUAACUUUWAGAGGCCGGUGCCUAAGGUAAAAUCGAUGACUKGGAUUAAGUCGUAACAAGGUAGCCGUAGGAGAACCUGCGGCUGGAUCACCUCCUUUCUAAGGA
rnacentral:rRNA from 1 species